UUAUUCUUUCAUCUCGGCUCGUUUUUUCACGUAGAAUCAUAUACUUGAUUAUGGGACACCUUGUAUAAUCGAAAUAAUAGACUACAAUUAUAUGCGAGACAUGUGGUGUAAUAGGGUAGAAGGUCAUCUGACGUACAAAAAUAAGUAAACAAUGUAGAACAACAAUUUUUUUAUGUUUCACUUUCAAGAGAAUAGAACUUAAAUAAUAAUAAAGCUUGAACUAAUCCAGUUUCAGACUAGACAGGAGUGAAUAAUUGACAGGAAGUUGUUCUACAUACGAAAAUAUGUAAAAAAUUUACGUUUUUUUAAAAUUAUCAAACCAAUUCUUGAUUAAACACGCAUUUAAAUUUGUUUUUGUUGUACAAUAUCCGGAAAGAGGACAUAUAGAAUAUAUGAAAAGUUUAGACAGGUUUUAUUAGGUAGAUGUUAAUAUCGAUCUGUGACGAGAGGCAAUUUUCAAAUCCGUAUCAGAAGAAAUGGUAAUCUAUGAAUAAUUUAAGUUUGGCGCCACGAAUACUGAGAGCAGAUGGAACUUGUGCUGCAUACUGCGUCAUAUACUUCAUGAACAGCACUUAAUGAACGACAUUUUUUGCAAAAAAGUUACCAUAUAUAGAAAAAUAUUGCUUGAAUUUUGAUGAUAAAGAGUAUUAAAAAAAAUAAAUCGACCUUGGGAAUAAUAAAAAAAGCAUAUACACGUUCUUUUUUAAUUUGAAUAAUUGACAAAUUGAUACAAUAAUAAUAAUAAUUGAUAAAACGACUGUCGAGAAACUUCCUGUUGUGCAAAGACAGUUGUCACGCAAAACGAAGAGAAGCGUGGAGAAUUGUUUCCGAGUAAUCUCGGAGGCACGUUAGGAGGAAACAGGGAUGUCCUUGUUCUGCAUCGACUACUGAUCAUUUUCAAGAUCCCAAGGGAAUUGCGAGGACUGCUAUCAAGAUGUGUUACAUUUAUGCUCGAUGUCACUCAGUGAUUUUACUACAGCGACCGAUAAACGAAGAAGGUGUAGGGCAAUGUUUUGUUUCAAAAACAAAAGAGAGUAUUGCCUGUGAGAACGUACUUUAAUCCUGGUGAAUAUCUCUCGUUCGAUGGACGCCUCAGGGUGCGUCUGCAUCGUUAUUUGCGAAUACUUUCCCACCGUGGAGUCCGUGGCGGGGACAACCUCUACCAAUAUGCGUUACAUUCUUCUCAUAUCUUUUGGUUAACAAGGAUCUAUUUGACUGGUUGUUAUGUAAACUUACUAGAGUUAAAUGUCUUUAUGGAAGAAUUUAAUAUAUAGUAAGAACAUAAUGUAUGGGUUGAUGUAAAUAGAACUAACACCUUUAUCUUUAGUAACAAAAUAAUCACAUCUACCAUAAGAGCCAACAUCAUGGAUGUCCAUAGCAUAUUGUGUUAUGUAAAAGGACCAGAUAGACAAUAUUGCAAUAAUGAGAUAGGAAUUUGAUACGAUGAAUACAAAAAUUAAAAUUUUUUUAAAUGUAUAAUUAAUUACAAAUUUUUUAAAUUAUUCCUAAAAUGUUAUUUUGAUAUACUGAAUAAUAUGUGAAAAUUAGAACACGUGACCAAUGUCAACGUGGCCAAUAUCAAAAGUCCUUGAGUUGCUGAAAAACUAGACAUUAGGCUUGAGAAAAAUAUUUACAAAUUGUUCUACUUUCUCCUGUCCUAAAAGACACCUCAGGCUACGAUUAAUAGACGACUGUGAACAACUAUUAUUUAAUGUAUAUGGAGAGUAAAAGAAGGAAACUACAAACUAGACCCUUAAGAGUCCAUUUGAUGAAGGAAACGGAACAAAACAGAAAGAGAAGGGGGCCACAGCAAGAAAAACAAAUGAUCCGGAGAGAAGAGCGAUGAGGAGAAGCACGGAGAAAUCGAGGAGAUGGCCGGGGACACGGAAGAGAAGAGAAGACGCGAGAAAGACGAAGAAAAAAGGGGGAAGGGGGAAUUCGGAAUAUAAGUUUCUGCAAGGCCUCGCGAUUUCGCCGUUGCCUUCUGAGGCAUCGAUCGACUCUUGAAAGAAAAUUUCCUCUCGAGGGGAACAAGAGCCAGAUUGCUUGAAGUCAGUACCGGUUCCUUGACACUCCGAACUUAAGCGCAAUAAAAUUUGAUUCCUCUUUCCGUCGCUUUACCGACGAAUAAAACUGUUCAUUAACUUUUUUAUUAGUUGAUCGCUGUUAUGUAACAUAGGACGUUGUGUUAAAUUUUUACUUGUGUUAUUAUUUAAUAUAAUCAUUCACAAUCAUUCGCAACAGAGACUUGCAAACGAAAA